rnacentral:rRNA from 1 species
CAGCCGCCACGGUAAUACAGAGGGUGCGAGCGUUAAUCGGAUUUACUGGGCGUAAAGCGUGCGUAGGCGGCUUUUUAAGUCGGAUGUAAAAUCCCUGAGCUUAACUUAGGAAUUGCAUUCGAUACUGGGAAGCUAGAGUAUGGGAGAGGAUGGUAGAAUUCCAGGUGUAGCGGUGAAAUGCGUAGAGAUCUGGAGGAAUACCGAUGGCGAAGGCAGCCAUCUGGCCUAAUACUGACGCUGAGGUACGAAAGCAUGGGGAGCAAACAGGAUUAGAUACCCCUGUAGUCCCUGUCUCUUAUAC